UCCGGAGGGUGCAAACGUUAAUCGGAAUUACUGGGCGUAAAGCGCGCGUAGGCGGUUGGGUAAGUCAGAUGUGAAAGCCCCGGGCUUAACCUGGGAACUGCAUUUGAUACUGUCUGACUCGAGUAUGGUAGAGGGGGGUGGAAUUCCCGGAGUAGCGGUGAAAUGCGUAGAUAUCGGGAGGAACACCAGUGGCGAAGGCGGCCCCCUGGACCAAUACUGACGCUGAGGUGCGAAAGCGUGGGGAGAAAACAGG
rnacentral:rRNA from 1 species